ensembl:lncRNA
GGCUCCGGACCCCACGAUCCGCAGGGACGCCUUUGCCCAGGAAUUGGGAGCCGCCUUCGAGCUCCUGUUCCAGUCCUGGCUCCCCCUGAGAGAGGCCAAGGUGGGAACCCCGGGAUCCGGGAAUUGCGGGAAUUCCGGGAAUUCCGGGAAUUCUGGGAAUGGGAAUCCCGGGAUUCGGGGAUUCUGGGAAUUCUGGGAAUUCUGGGAAUGGGAAUCCCGGGAUUUGGGGAUUCCAGGAAUUCUGGGAAUUCUGGGAAUGGGAAUCCCAGGAUUUGGGGAUUCCGGGGAUUCUGGGGAUUCUGGGAAUGGGAAUUCCGGGAUUUGGGGAUUCUGGGAAUUCUGGGAAUUCUGGGAAUUCUGGGAAUGGGAAUCCCGGGAUUCGGGAAUUCCGGGAAUUCUGGGAAUUCUGGCAAUGGGAAUCCCGGGAUUCGGGAAUUCCGGGGAUUCUGGGGAUUCUGGGAAUUCCGGGAAUGGGAAUUUUGGGAUUUGGGAAUUCCGGGGAUUCUGGGAAUGGGAAUCCCGGGAUUCGGGAAUUCCGGGAAUUCUGGGGAUUCUGGGGAUUCUGGGAAUUCCGGGAAUGGGAAUUUUGGGAUUUGGGAAUUCCGGGGAUUCUGGGAAUUCUGGGAAUGCUGGGAAUGGGAAUCCCGGGAUUUGGGGAUUCCAGGAAUUCUGGGAAUUCUGGGAAUGGGAAUCCUGGAUUCGGGAAUUGCGGAAAUUCUGGGAAUGCUGGGAAUGGGAAUCCCGGGAUUUGGGGAUUCUGGGAAUUCUGGGGAUUCUGGGAAUUCUGGGAAUGGGAAUCCCGGGGAUUCCGGGAAUUCUGGGAAUGGGAAUUCCGGGAUUCGGGAAUUCCGGGGAUUCUGGGAAUUCUGGGAAUGGGAAUCCCGGGAUUUGGGGAUUCCGGGAAUUCCGGGAAUUCUGGGAAUUCUGGCAAUGGGAAUCCCAGGAUUCGGGAAUUCCGGGAAUUCUGGUGAUUCUGGGAAUUCCAGGAAUGGGAAUUCUGGGAUUUGGGAAUGGUGGGAUUCAGGAAUUCUGGGAUUUGGGAAUGGUGGGAUUCAGGAAUUCUGGGAUUUGAGAAUUCCGGGAAUGGGAAUUCUGGGAGUGGGAAUUCUGGGAUGUGAGAUAUUGGGAUUUGGGAAUUCUGGGAAUGGGAAUUCUGGGAUUUGGGAAUUCCUGGGAUUUGGGAAUGGUGGGAAUGGGAAUUGUGUGAUUGAGGAAUUCCAGGAAUGGGAAUUUUGGGAUUCGGGAAUGGAGGGAUUCAAGAAUUCCCAGAUUUUGGAAUAUCUGGAGUGGGAAUUCCCAGAUUUGGGAAUGCUGGGAUUUGGGAAUUCCCAGAUUUGGGAAUGCUGGGAUUUGGGAAUGGGAAUUCCUGGAUUUGGGAAUGCUGGGAGUGGGAAUUCCGGGAUUCAGGAACGCUGGGAAUGGGAAUUCCGGGAUUUGGGAAUGCUGGGAUUUGGGAAUGUUGGGAUUCAGGAAUUCCGGGAUUUGGGAAUGCUGGGAUUCGGGAAUUCCGGGAUUUGGGAAUUGCAGGAUUCGGGAAUGUUGGGAUUCAGGAAUUCCGGGAUUCGGGAAUGUUGGGAUUUGGGAAUGUUGGGAUUCAGGAAUUCCGGGAUUUGGGAAUUCCGGGAUUUGGGAAUUGCAGGAUUCAGGAAUGUUGGGAUUCAGGAAUUCCGGGAUUUGGGAAUGCUGGGAUUCAGGAAUUCUGGGAUUUGGGAAUGCUGGGAUUCAGGAAUUUGGGACAUUUGGAACAGGAUUGGGAAUUUUGGGAAUUCAAUCCCUCAGGAUUGGGAAUUUUAACCCUAAAACCCCCCUGGAUUCGGGAAUUCCCGGAAUUCCUCCUCCUCCCCAUCCCCAAUUCCGAUUCCCGUCGGAAUUCCGGGAUUUUCCCGCUCUUUUCCCGGAUUUUUCCAGGUGCGUUUGGCCGUGGUGGAAGCCCUGGGCCCCAUGAGCUCCUUAAUUCCCGAGGAAAAGCUGGAAGAGCAACUCCCAAAAAUCCUGCCGGGAAUUCUCGGCCUCUACAAGAAACACCCGGAGCCUUUUCCCAUCUCCAAGGUCCGGGAAUUCUUUCCCAAAGUUUGGGGCUUUGAAGGGAUUUUUCCCAGAUUUUUCUUGGAAU